rnacentral:rRNA from 1 species
GAUGAACGCUGGCUACAGGCUUAACACAUGCAAGUCGAGGGGAAACGGCAUUGGGUGCUUGCACCGAAUGGACGUCGACCGGCGCACGGGUGAGUAACGCGUAUCCAACCUUCCCGUUACUGCGGGAUAACCUGCCGAAAGGCAGACUAAUACCGCAUGUUCUUCGAUGACGGCAUCAGAUUCGAAGCAAAGAUCCGUCGGUAACGGAGGGGGAUGCGUCUGAUUAGCUUGUUGGCGGGGCGACGGCCCACCAAGGCGACGAUCAGUAGGGGUUCUGAGAGGAAGGUCCCCCACAUUGGAACUGAGACACGGUCCAAACUCCUACGGGAGGCAGCAGUGAGGAAUAUUGGUCAAUGGGCGGAAGCCUGAACCAGCCAAGUAGCGUGCAGGAUGACGGCCCUACGGGUUGUAAACUGCUUUUAUGCGGGGAUAAAGUGAGGGACGCGUCCCUUUUUGCAGGUACCG